ensembl:lncRNA
CAGGACAGAUCGCCUUAUAUUAUAACCCUUUGCUCUUAUUUUUGUAUCAGGAUGUUUUGAUGGCAUGCAUCUAAAAACAAACAAACAAACAAACAAACAAAAACUGGCUUAAACCCAAAUGAGAAUUUAUUGGUGUGUGCCACUGGAAAAUUCGCCUUCAGUUGCAGCUUAAUUCAGCUGCCCUACAGUUACUCCAGGAUCUGAGUGAGCGUCAUUCUCAGGUGUCCUCUGCUCUCUCGCUUUGUAUGUUGUUCCUCAGGAACCAUUAAUCUUAAAUAAUCUCCUCAUGCCAAGAGGAGAAAGAAACUCCUUUUCUCUGAAGCUAGAGGAAAAAUUUGAGACAUGAAUCUUCUUGAUCCUGAUUGGCCUGGCUUGUAUCAUAUGCCUGUAUCUAACUAAUCACAGUGGUAUGGAGGCUUGAAUUCUCUAAUUAGUUUAAAAGAGGUCGCAUGUCCCACUCAUAGAGUCUGGAAGUAGAGAUGAAUUUCUUGAACCUUGUAAGCUGGGAGCAGCAGCAGAGGAGUAGUUUUUACUACAAAUGAGGGAUCUAUUGAUGCUGGGUUGCAAAAAUAACAAGUGUCCAUUCUUGUGCUGUGAGCUCCUCAGGGCAUAGUGCUGUGUGACGUCCAGCAGGCACUUAAUAAAUGCUGGCUGGGUUCAUGAGUGAGGAAAGGAAUGAACACAGCCUGGCUCUACCUCCUUUUCUUUGCUCCAUUUGCAUCCCUUGUCCACCCACGGCCAGUGGAAGCCAUGAACUGUCUGGGGAUUGGGGAUUAAACAGUUGACAUCUUCCUACACUCUUCUCUCUCUUACAGUUCUAGCCUGUAUAAUUUUGAUGGGUCAUGAUUCAAUUGAUUUUGUUCAGAAGCCACAGAAAGAAAUUAUUUCUUGCUAAUAGUCUUGAAGGAUUUUCCACAAUACGACUAGAUUAUUGCUAAUCUAAUAAGAUACCAUAUAAUGGUGAUAUUAAUAAUAUUAUGUGAUUUUUCCAGCAAUCACAUUGCUCACUGAAUGAAAAUUUUGAAAAUUCUCUUCCUGAAAAGGUUUAGAUGACCAAGAUACAGAUAUAGUUCAUUAUGUUACUCUGUAGCCAUCUAUACAUUCAUAAAAAUAAGCAAUUAAAAAAAAAACCUGCCGCUAUUGUGGUAGCAGAAUUAUGAAUGUUUCCUUUCCUUCUUUAUGUCCCUCUGUAUUUUCACUUUCUCUGCAAUGAGCAUUCAUCAGCUUGUACUUGGGAUACUUUUUUGGGGGGAAGGGUAACUCUGUAGGAGAAUCAGCUUUCCUUAACCAUCCCUUUGGGGCAGAUUCCCUCUAGACUGAGGUCGACUGGAUUCAGGGCUUCUUUGCUGAGGCUCAGAAGCACCAUGCCCAGGCCCAGGCCUACCCCUAACAUGUGCAAAAAUCAGAGCACAAGUGCAAAUGGAGGUCGGCAUACUCUUUGUCUACCAGUUACAAGGUAUAAUUAAGCUCAUAAAUUAAGUAAAAUAUGUCCAUCUUCCUACCCUGACAAAUAUACCUUCAGAAUAGUCUGGAAUUCAGCUUUGAGUUUAGAAUACUUGGACUCCUUCAAGUUGUGCACUGCGACAUGGUGGCAUGGGAGGAUGGACCUGCUGCCCCUCAGAUUCAAACAGAAGAGCAGUACCAGGUUUUAGGAAUCAAACAGGUUUGAAACCCCAGUCUACCAUUUUCUGUGUAUCUGACCCUUCGUGUUCUUCCUUAUACAUUGAUAAUAAUCAUAGUAACUACCUUCCGGAGUUGCUGGGGAAAUGAAAUGACAUGGUACAUUCGCAGUGCUUUGCACCAUGCCAGGCCCAUGGGAUGGGCCCAGUUGCUGUGGUGGUGCGGCUUGCGCACUCCCUCCUCCUCCCCAUCAGGCCCCUCCCCGGAGCUGUCAGGAGGAUGGGUGAUGGCGAAGGAGAAUGCAGCCUCAAAAGCCUGUUGUUUCCAGCAAGGAUCUGGCUAAUUUAUUUCAAAAGGUUUUGCUUCUAUGAAGUUUAAUAGAGUUGAUGAGUAUUAAAGGAAUCAUUUAAUCUUCAUUUGAAUGUGAGCAGUAAAUGUGUUUUGGAGAUUAUAUUCAUUCCCCAGUGACUCCAAGUACUUUCCCAUUCCAGAGCUGAUUUUCAUCCGCCAGGGCAACGGGGUUUCAGGUCUCUGGAGUUGCCUGAAGGAAAAGCAGGAGUCCCAAACAGAGGGUGCUGCUUAGCCCUGCCUCAAGCAAGGUGGCAGAGUUUCCUUCCAGGCAUUGGGACACUUGUGGCCCCUGCCUGACCCAUCUAUUCCCAUCCUAAGCUGCUCCCCAAUAUGUCGGAGGCUUCGAGGCUCUGUAUGGUGGGCUUUAGAAGCACAGGGCUUAAAGACAGAGCUUCCUCCCCUUGGCAGCCUGCUGCCUCUUCCACUUUACUGCACCUAAUGGAAGGUCAGCCACGUCUGUGAAAGGUGAAGCGGCCAAGAUCCAUCUGGGGAGGCAUUUCGCCAAAUGAAUUUUAAUAGCUUGGAAUCAGGUUAAACUCAUGCAGAAGGAAAGAAAGGAAGUCUUACUUGUUAUCAGAUGUGUAAUACGGCAUUUUUACAUCCUGUAAGCACUUGAGAUGUGCAUGUGUCUUCGAGGGUACAGGGAAUUUGUGUUCCUUGCCAGGAGCAAUUCAGUCUUUAGCUAAACCCAGUAGCAUCUGCGGAAGGGCUUGGAGUUUAGGGUUUCUCCUCAGGGCUAGCAAAACAUCUCCAAAUCAGAGUGGAACACUGAUGGGUUCGUUAUACAAUAUGUACGCAUUGAGUCCAGUGGUGGCUGUAAGGGGCAGCUGAUCAAGGGGGACAGGGGCCAAGGGUUUCCAAGGGUGUUUUAAUGGACCUCAUGCCUUCCCACACUGGCUCUCACAUCCCCCACAGGCACACAUUGAGCCUUGUUUUUUUUUUUUUUUUUUUUUUUUCAAAUGGGAACACAUAGUAGGAGAGGUUAAAAAACUGACCAAAUUCCAAUCCCAGUUAAGAUUCAAACCCAAACCUUUCUGUUACCAAGCCUGUGCUCUUUCUCAGACAUCACAUUGACCAGGAGUGAGAAGAUCUGAAUUUGAAGUUAGCUUCAGCUCUCAUGUGGCCCUGACCCAGUCACUUACUCUGUUGGACACCCAGUUCCAUCUACAAAAUGGAAAUGAUACCACUGGCUUACAUACAUGAUGAGGUUGGCAUGAGGAGCAAAUACAUGUGAAAGUGUUUUAAAGGCGGUUAGAUGCUCUUCGAAUAUAAUGCAUUGUCAUUUAAAGUGAUAAUGACCAUGAAGACGACAAUCAUGGUCAUCAGUGGAUCACCAGAGACACCCAAAAGGAGAACUCUUAAGUUGGGGCGCUCAAUAGCACGUAACUGUUUGUGGAGAGAGCCAUGGGAUGUGGUUUGGGGAAGGCUGCUGCAACUCAAGUCGAAAGCUGAAGCCAGAUGCCAGGGGAUCCCAGGCAGUGUAGGGUAGGAAGAGACACAGCCACGUUUGAGUAUUCUGGUGGUGAACUCGGACCAAGAAGCAAGAAAUAGGCCAGGGGCUGGGGGGGCAGCUGCGUCAGAGGCCAGCAAGGCUGCAAAGGGGGGGUGGGGGGAGCAGCUGGAUGAGGUGUGGGCCCUGAGCAGCAGUGAGAUCUACUGUCUUUGUUAGCUGUCAGUUUCAGGUCAGGUUUUUGAAUAGCAAGUGAGCAGCCUUAUGCCGAAACCAUCUGGGCCUGCUCUGGGACGAGCCCCCAGCUGCAGGAGUACAUGGAGGUGGAGUCUUACAAUAUUUAUGGAUUUCAGAUGCAUGCCCUCUGGAGCCCCAAGAGGCAAAAGCACAUUCCAGAGACAGAAAGGCUGAGUAUCCAUGUGUGAAACACCGCAGGCGGCUCUGGUUAAGACAGUCUCAGCAGAGGCUGGGUGGCUGCAGAGGGCGAUGAGGGGUCCAGAACCUCAGGCCAAGCAGGCUUCAGGGCAGGCAGGCUCUGGGGUGAUGACUCGUGUUGCUUUUGACAGAAGCACCACCGGGAGACCCCUACUCCAGGGCUGUAAUUGCAGCCACUUUGGCGUUCUCCUGUGGGAGCGUGAGUAGAGCGUUCUCCCCUGUUAAACGUUGAACUCCUCAGGGUGACAGAAAUAGGUUACCCUUGUUUUGGAAGGUGCGAGAACUCAAUCCAGCACCUCAUCAGUGUUCGUUAUACAAAAGGUGGCUGUUCUCAGUGGCUGGGGUGGUUGCGGCGCCUUUGGCCCUGGACUUUGGUCUCAAGCCCUUUGGCAGCGAGAUUUCACAAAGGAGUGACUGUAAGAAAAUCUCAAAGAGCACAGCCUGCUGAAGGUGAAGGGGCAAAGAACAGGAACUUUCGUCUUUGGGGGGGCCAGCAGGAACCACCUGGGGUUUCUCAGGUGUCAGUUGAACCUGCCACUGCCUCAGAUAAGGUGUCCCUUAUGCAGAUACAUUAUCUGUCACCUUCCCACACCAUCCCUUGAACAACUGAGAGAGUAGCAGGGACCCCACAGAGGCUGUGAAGGGAAUGUCCGGGAGAGCAGAAACCAGGCAUUUGGCGAUUUAAGACAGCUUCCGCUUCCGGUAGAUAAAACGGAGAUGAAAGGAGGGCACGGGGCGGCCGGUUCACCGUGAAACAGGUUCCUCCUCGUCUCAGAAAAGGGGAAAAUGGUCGAGGCGGUGCUUCUCAGUGAGGACGGAGGCCUGGGAGGGUCCUGCAAGUGUGAGGACAGCCUUUCCCCACAAACAUGAGAUGCCCGGAGCUCUCACUAGCAGGCCCCAUGUAAAAUGAGGAGCCGAGGGCUCAAAGCAGCGAGCGAUACUUUGAGGCUUCGACACUGAAACCAAGCAGUGCUGACCUCAGUGGGCCCUUAAGUUAGAGCUCAAUGCCUAUGUCCGACCAACUUGGAGAGUGGGGAGCAGAGACCCAAGUUCUCAGCUUCUAGAAUCCAGGCCAUCUUUCCACUGAUCCCUUGUGUCUGCUCUGCUUGGCAGGGUGCUUUUGAGGGGAAACAUAGAAAACUGCAUGGCAGCCAUGAUUUCAAUGGGUCAUGACCUUACUGGCUGUGCUUUCAAUGUGUAACAACCUUAUUAGUUGAAUUUGUCCAGUGGUGGUGACUUUGAGAAACUCUCAACUAUGCUCCACUGCUCAAGUCCACAGAUCAAUGCACAUUUCUCCCCUCCCCCCCCACAGUCUGUUGCUCAGCUCCAGCGUGUGGGAUACAGAGCAUCCUUCAGGUGAAUUCCCCCUUCUGUCAGCGUUGACUUCUGUUGUUUCUAAUUGAGGAAACCUAACUGAUAUUUGCAUUCAUGUUUCAUUCAUUCAUUCAUUCAUGCACGCAGUAAUCAUUUAUUUAGUAGCACCAUCUGCCUGGCACAGAUAUCAUUACUGAUAAAGCCUGGCCCCUGCCUUCAAGGACCUUAACAGUCUAGUGGGGAAGAGCAAUGAGUGAGAAGAGAGGCCAUAAGCGUGUGCCAGGGAAGCCCAGGAGGUGCAAGCAGCUGAGACUUGGAGUAAGGGAAGGCUUCCAGAGGAGAGGAGACUUGAGUCAAGUUCCAUUGGGUGGGCAGAGGUGGCCCAAGCAGAGAGCCGGGGGAAAGAUGUAUUCCCUUGGGACGGGAGAGCGCUGUGCAAAGGCCCUGAAUGUGUGUGGCAGCAGGACAUGUCUGAAGCAGUGCUGGCAGCUUAGCUGGGACCCAGGACAGACGUGGGAGGGCCGCAGGAGGGGCAGCGAGAAAGGUUGGCAGGCUCCAGACCACGAGGUCUAUGGGCGGUUAGCCGGAGAGACUGAGUGUUGCCCUGUAGGAGUCGCUGAAAACAUGGGAAACAGAGACUGCCUUGGUCCUGCCUGCGUGUGAACACUGUCUCUCCAGCCUCCACUGCAGACUGAUUGGGGAGAGGCCUGGGUGCAAGGAGGGAGACCAGUCCUCCAAGGGGCAAGGGUGGGGGUCUGAACCAAAUUGCUUGUCAGGGGAAUUAUAGUGCUAAGGUUCAGAGCAAGGAGAGAGCCAUUUGGAAGGUAGACUAUUUAGACCAUACUCAUCUAGACAGGCGGAGGAGAACAAAGAAAAAGCCAGAAGAUGGAGUCAUGCUGUACUUUCUCCUGUCUCCCCUCCAAUAGCUAAUCUGAUCCUGCCUUUUCUUCUGGUGAAACGCCUUCCGUGACUUCCGUUAGCUUUCAGGGAAAAGUUCAAAUUCUUAGGUUAAUCGAAUAAAGUUUUUUCUAAUCUGGCCCCUGAUAACCUUUGCCUUAGCAGAAGGUGGGGGUGGGGACAAAGUUUGUUUGCUUGAUUCCCCAUGUGGUACUUAAAAAAUGUAGAAACCUGCAGAAAAGCUGAAAGAAUGGUACAUGAAUGCCUCUUUGGGCUUCAUCUAGAUGCACCAAUUGUUAACAUUUGGCUGGACCUGCUCUAUCUCCUCUCAGUCUUGCUCUCAUUUUCCACGUAUGCACAUUCAGACACCGAAACAUUUUUCCACCGGACCAUUCGUAAGUUGCAGACAUCGCGAUAUCCCACAUCUAGAUACAUCAGAGCCUACCUCCUAAGCGCAAGGACAUUCUCCUACAAAACCACAAUACUCAAUAAAUUUAACAUCAGUCCGAUAAUAUUAUCUAACAUACAAUCCACAUUUACAUUUCCCCAGCUGUCCCCAAAUACGUGUUUAACAGCUUUCUUAAAAGAAAACCCAGGACUCAAGGCUCAUGAAUUGCAUGUGGUAAUCAUGUCUCUCUAGUCUCCUUUAAUUUAUAACAGUCCCCUCUGCCUUUUUCUGUUUUUCAUGACAUGACCUUUUCUAAGAGUCUGGGCCAGUUGCCUUGUAGAACGAGUUGCAAUCUGAGUGUGGCUGAUUGUUUCCUCAUGACCAGAUUCAGGUUAUAUGCUUUGGGUGAGAAUGCUACAUAGGUGAUGUUACAUUGUUCCUGCUGGGUCACAUUAGGGACACAUAAUAGCUGUUUGUCCCAUUAGUAUGAUGCUAAGUUUGAUCUAGCCACAAAAAAGCACCUUUACCUCUUUAUAAUUAAUCAGCAACUGGGGGAGAUGAUCUUGUUCUGAACGGUGUUUCACCUAUUAUUCCAUUAAUGAUCCUUGCUUGAACCAUUUACUCCAUCGUUGGUUACAAAAUAUUGAUUUUCUAAAUCACUCAUCCCUUAUACAUUUAUUACCUGCAUUCCUCUAAAAAAGCUUUCCUUCUCUACUUCUCCCCCUAGCCUCUCAGCCUUUUGUAAAAGUAUUGCUGUGGGCUCCCAGGUCCCAUUAAAUUUCUCUCUAUAUAAAUUUCCAUAUAUAAAAAUUUUAUAUAUAUGUUUAUUUAUGUAACUAUUAUCAUUCUUUCUGAUGUUCCGGUUGUUGCAAAUCUGGCCAGUGGAACCCCUCUAAGCCAAUUAUUGGGUCCUUUUGGCAUACCUCCAGUAGCCUUUGAGUAUGUCUUUGCUUUCUGACAUAAUAUUAUUUUCCAGCAUCAUCAAGUACUUUCCUGAAGGGUGGAGUUUGGGGGGGAAAGAUGAAUUAUAAUAAUAAUUAUUAUUAUUAUUAUUAUCAUCAUCAUCUUGCUUUUUAGGGCCACACCCACGGCAUAUGGAGGUUCCCAGGCCAGGGGUCUAAUCAGGCUACAGCUGCCGGCCUACACCACAGCCACAGCAAUGCCAGAUCCGAGCCUUGUCUGCAACCUGCACCACAGCUCACAGCAAUGCCGGAUCUUUAACCCACUGAGCGAGGCCAGGGAUUGAACCACAACCUCAGGGUUCCUAGUCGGAUUCAUUUCCACUGUGCCACAAUGGGAACUCCUGAUGAAUUAUUUUUGUACAUGCUAUAUUUGAAUUUGGCAUAUCUCCGUGAUAUCUAGGGUGUGGCAGACAAUUUAUGUGUGUGUGUGUGUGUGUGUGCACGUGCAUGUGUGUGCACACAUGCUCACACACACUCAUAUAUAUCUUUAGUUUUGUCUCCAAUGUGUUUGAAUGGUGGUCUUUUCUCUUGACAGUCUAGGUAGCCCCUCCCAGCUGUGCUGCAGCUCUGAAAGGGGAAUGUGAGUCAGUAAUGUGAGUCAGUAGUGGACUGCUCACUAUCUCUGUCAUAGAGAGUAAUUGGUUUUCCAAUCAGUACUCUCUGUGAUGUGAGCAAGAGAAUCCACUGAGAGGGAGCAGAAAUGACUAGAGCCUAUAUUUAGACUUUUUAAAAAUCUGAUUUUCACAUUGUAUUACAUACAAGUUUUAUAAUAUACAAGGUAUAAUAAUGCAUGUAUGUCACCCUCUAAAUAAAUAAUUAUAUGUACAGAGGGGUCUCUGCACAAUUUUUAAAAUAAUAGCAUGAAAAAAAAAUUUGGUGGGCCUUGGUAUAAUUAUAGUUGAAGGUGUGAGUUGAAGGAAGUCAUCUGGGAGUGUCUGUAGAAGAAGAGCAGAAGGUCUAGAAUGGAAGCACAGGGAAACCUCAACCUUUAGGACAUGAGAAGAGGACUAUAGUAGAUACCUUGAAAGGUGACAAGCCAACCAAAAAGUGGGAGAAGAACCUGGGAGAGUGAUGUCACCAAGACACACAAAAUGGUGGAAGUGGCAAGCAGUCCCAAAUCCUGGAGAGAGGCCCAGGAAGAGAGGCCGGAAGUGUGUCCAGGAGUUCCUUUUGUGGCUCAGGGGUAAUGAACCUAACUAGUAUCCAUGAGGAUGCGGGUUCCAUCCCUGGCCUUGCUUGGUAGGUUAAGGAUCUGGAGUUGCUGUGAGCUGCGGUGUAGUUUGUAGACGUGCCUCAGUUCUGGUUUUGCUGUGGCCAUGGCGUGGGCUGGCAGCUGUAGCUCUGAUUCGACACCUAGCCUGGGAACUUCUAUAUGCCACAGGUGUGGCCGUAAAAAGACAAAAAAAAAAAAAAAAAGAAAAGAAAAAAAG